AUCAGCCUCCGCACACACAUGCAGCCGACCCAGCAGGCCUCGGGGACGUUGGCAUGUCGUUCCGGCGGUCAAGGUUCCCGAAAAUGACCUGACCGCCGGGCGCUUCUAUUUAAACAUACCCCACACUGUCUAACUUCCUUCCUCUACACUCAUCUUCCCCACCGGUCCCGUGCUUCCUGAGUUUCCACCGUUCUCCAAGAAACGUGUCCACCGAUCACCUCCUCCGCCUGGGGAGACUGCGUCCCGGCUCUCGACUAACCUCACUCUUUUCCUUUUCCAUUCCCGGCUGGGGCGGCUCGCGUUUGGCCUCCCGCAAGCUCGAGGAGCUCCACGCUGGCCCCUCGCCCCUACUCUCCCGCCACUCCUCUCCUACUCACUUUGGGCUUCUCCGGCAAUUUCUUCCGGUUCUUCUUCUUCUGCUCCUCGCUCCUGAGAUUCUUCAGCACGCCUAGGUCGUCAGCGGCCGGGCCCGGCGCGGCCGCCGCCUCCUCCCGCUUGCGAGGCGGGCUCCUCCGCUUCUUGCGGGCGCCGGCGCAAGCCGCGGCCCAGCCGUAGCCGAGCAGGAAGAGCAGCAGGAGCCCGAGCGCGCCCAUGCCCACCAGGAUCACCCAGCCCGGGUACCGUUUCGGCUCCAGCCCCAGGUCGAGGCCCAACUCGGUGCGCAGAAAGCCUAGGCCGACCGAGAGCAUUUCCUGCAGCCGGGCUGAGCCCUCCUCGGCCUGCUGGGCCAGCUCGUCCAGCCAGCUCCGUGUAGCCAUCUUCCCUCCCGUCAGCGGCACUCGCAGAAUGACGCCGGGGCGCAGAGACGCCGUGGAACAGUCAAGGGAAGCAAGUUUUUUGGCCGUGAGACAUGUGGGAUCUUAGUUCCCCGACCAGGGAUUGAACCCGCACCCCCUGCAUUGGAAGGUGAAGUCUUAACCACUGGACGGCCAGAUGCGCUGACAGCUGUGUUCCCUGUGGAGUAAACUGCUUGCCUGGUUGCGUCACUCUGGACACUGGGAUCUUGACUGUAUCAAAGCAAGAGGAAGCAUCGCUCAGUCAGGAACCCAUGUGUUGUCCAUUAAACAAGGAGAGACUUUUCUGGGAGCUGAAGAUAGAGCGGUGAACAAAACAGACAAACAAGCAGAUCCUUGCCAAAGAUGUGUCUAUAUGUGGAGACCAGGAGCUGGUUUCUGGAAGUGAAGAGUGAGUGAUGCUUUGAAAUCCGGUUUCACAAGCCUCCCAGUUUUACCAGAGGGGCAAGCUUGUCGGAGUCAUUCCACAGCAUCGGGCAGCAUCCUUUCUCUCCACCUGUGUGACACAUCACUAGACACCCUCCCCGCUCCGUCAGCAGCAUGUUCUCUUGGCUCAGUUUGGCUGACAACACUCAGCUUGAAAAAGAACCCUCCCCAGCGGAGGCAGAGAGCCUGGCCAGGCUGGGGCCCGAGCAGGGUCUAUAGGGCUUAAUUCUGUGACAGUGACUCUGGGACUCCUGCAGGACCUCCGUUCCUCUGCCUGACCGAGGUAGGCGGGCCUCUCACUGUUGCGGCCUCUCCCGUUGCGGAGCACAGGCUCCGGACGCGCAUGCUCGGCGGCCAUGGCUCACGGGCCCAGCCUCUCCGCGGCAUGUGGGAUCUUCACGGACCGGGGCACAAACCCAUGUCCCCUGCAUCGACAGGCGGACGCUCAACCACUGUGCCACCAGGGAAGCCCGCCAAGAAGACAUUCUUUUUGCGGUACGCGGGCCUCUCACUGUUGUGGCCUCUCCCGUUGCGGAGCACAGGCUCCGGACGCGCAGGCUCAGCGGCCAUGGCUCACGGGCGCAGCCGCUCCGCGGCAUGUGGGAUCCUCCCGGACCGGGGCACAAACCCGUGUCCCCUGCAUCGGGAGGCGGACUCUCAACCACUGCGCCACCAGGGAAGCCCAAGAAGACAUUCUUAACAGCGUUACGCGGGCCUCUCACUGUUGUGGCCUCUCCCGUUGCGGAGCACAGGCUCCGGACGCACAGGCUCUGUGGCCAUGGCUCACGGGCGCAGCCGCUCCGCGGCAUGUGGGAUCCUCCCGGACCGGGGCACGAACCCGCGUCCCCUGCAUCGGCAGGCGGGCUCUCAACCACUGCGC